rnacentral:rRNA from 1 species
UACGAAGGGGGCUAGCGUUGCUCGGAAUCACUGGGCGUAAAGCGCACGUAGGCGGAUUGCUAAGUCAGGGGUGAAAUCCUGGAGCUCAACUCCAGAACUGCCUUUGAUACUGGCGACCUUGAGUCCGGGAGAGGUGAGUGGAACUGCGAGUGUAGAGGUGAAAUUCGUAGAUAUUCGCAAGAACACCAGUGGCGAAGGCGGCUCACUGGCCCGGUACUGACGCUGAGGUGCGAAAGCGUGGGGAGCAAAC